GAUGAAGAACGCAGCGAAAUGCGAUAAGUAAUGUGAAUUCCAGAAUUCAGUGAAUCAUCGAAUCUUUGAACGCACAUUGCGCCCGCCAGUAUUCUGGCGGGCAUGCCUGUUCGAGCGUCAUUUCAACCAUCAAGCCCUGCUUGCGUUGGGGUCCUGCGGCUGCCCGCAGGCCCUGAAAACCAGUGGCGGGCUCGCUAGUCACACCGAGCGCAGUAAUACAUCUCGCUUUGGGCGUGCGGCGGGUUCUUGCCGUUAAACACCCCCUUUUUACCAAGGUUGACCUCGGAUCAGGUAGGAAUACCCGCUGAACUUAAGCAUAUCAAUAAGCGGAGGA
rnacentral:misc_RNA from 1 species